ACGGGUGAGUAACGCGUGGGAAUCUACCCAUCCCUACGGAAUAACGCAUGGAAACGUGUGCUAAUACCGUAUACGCCCUACGGGGGAAAGAUUUAUCGGGGAUGGAUGAGCCCGCGUUGGAUUAGCUAGUUGGUGGGGUAAAGGCCUACCAAGGCGACGAUCCAUAGCUGGUCUGAGAGGAUGAUCAGCCACAUUGGGACUGAGACACGGCCCAAACUCCUACGGGAGGCAGCAGUGGGGAAUAUUGGACAAUGGGCGCAAGCCUGAUCCAGCCAUGCCGCGUGAGUGAUGAAGGCCUUAGGGUUGUAAAGCUCUUUCACCGGAGAAGAUAAUGACGGUAUCCGGAGAAGAAGCCCCGGCUAACUUCGUGCCAGCAGCCGCGGUAAUACGAAGGGGGCUAGCGUUGUUCGGAAUUACUGGGCGUAAAGCGCACGUAGGCGGACUUUUAAGUCAGGGGUGAAAUCCCGGGGCUCAACUUCGGAACUGCCUUUGAUACUGGGUGUCUUGAGUAUGGAAGAGGUUAGUGGAAUUGCGAGUGUAGAGGUGAAAUUCGUAGA
rnacentral:rRNA from 1 species